rnacentral:tRNA from 1 species
UCCCCUAUGGUCUAGUGGUUUAUGAUGAUGCACUUUCACUGCAUCGACCAGGGUUCGAUUCCCUGUGGGGGAA